UACGUAGGGGGCUAGCGUUGUCCGGAAUCAUUGGGCGUAAAGAGCGUGUAGGCGGCCCGGUAAGUCCGCUGUGAAAGUCGGGGGCUCAACCCUCGAAUGCCGGUGGAUACUGUCGGGCUAGAGUGCGGAAGAGGCGAGUGGAAUUCCUGGUGUAGCGGUGAAAUGCGCAGAGAUCGGGAGGAAUACCAGUGGCGAAGGCGGCCUGCUGGGCCACGACCGACACUGAGGUGCGAAAGCGUGGGGAGCGAACCGG
rnacentral:rRNA from 1 species